AAGGAAAGUCAGUUUCAAAAAGAAAAAAGAAGACCAAGAAUAAUAAUUCUGACAUUUCCCAGCUUUUUUUUAAUGGAUUCU
rnacentral:ribozyme from 1 species